rnacentral:rRNA from 1 species
UACGUAGGGACCGAGCGUUGUCCGGAAUCAUUGGGCGUAAAGAGCGUGUAGGCGGCUAUUUAAGUCCUGCGUGAAAUCCUGCGGCUCAACCGCAGACGGUCGUGGGAAACUGCCGUGACUCGAGUCCGGUAGGGGAGUGUGGAAUUCCCGGUGUAGCGGUGAAAUGCGCAGAUAUCGGGAGGAACACCAGUAGCGAAGGCGGCACUCUGGGCCGGUACUGACGCUGAGGAGCGAAAGCGUGGGGAGCGAACAGG